AUUGAACGCUGGCGGCAUGCUUUACACAUGCAAGUCGAACGGCAGCGCGGGCUUCGGCCUGGCGGCGAGUGGCGAACGGGUGAGUAAUGCAUCGGAACGUGCCCAGUAGUGGGGGAUAGCCCGGCGAAAGCCGGAUUAAUACCGCAUACGACCUGAGGGUGAAAGCGGGGGACCGAAAGGCCUCGCGCUAUUGGAGCGGCCGAUGUCGGAUUGGCUAGUUGGUGGGGUAAAGGCUUACCAAGGCGUCGAUCCGUAGCUGGUCUGAGAGGACGACCAGCCACACUGGGACUGAGACACGGCCCAGACUCCUACGGGAGGCAGCAGUGGGGAAUUUUGGACAAUGGGGGCAACCCUGAUCCAGCCAUGCCGCGUGCGGGAAGAAGGCCUUCGGGUUGUAAACCGCUUUUGUUCGGGAAGAAAUCCUCUGGGCUAAUACCCCGGGGGGAUGACGGUACCGGAAGAAUAAGCACCGGCUAACUACGUG
rnacentral:rRNA from 1 species